UUCACACUCCGAAGCAGUAGGUGGCGGUAAUGCGCCUCAUAUGCUGGUUUCCAACCGCCGUUAUAAAUCAAGAAGAAGAAGGAGCACUAUCAUGCGAAAAUAUUCAGAAUGGGUACUCAAGUGAAAGAUGUCAUCAUUAAGCCUGACGCUCCCAGCUCACUGUUCCUGGACAAACAUGCUGACUACAUCGCUGCUUACGGCUCCAAAAAAGAUGACUAUGAGUACACGCUGUCUGAGUACCUGAGGAUGAGCGGUAUCUACUGGGGGCUGACGGUGAUGGACCUGAUGGGUCAGCUGCCCCGCAUGAACCGGGAGGAGAUCAUAGACUUCAUCAAAUCCUGUCAGCAUGAAUGUGGAGGCAUCAGUGCCAGCAUCGGACAUGAUCCCCACCUGCUCUACACCCUCAGUGCUGUUCAGAUCUUGUGCUUAUAUGACAGCGUGGAUGCCAUUGAUGUGGACAAAGUUGUGGAAUAUGUCAAAGGCCUGCAGCAGGAGGACGGCUCAUUUGCAGGAGACAAAUGGGGAGAAAUAGACACACGGUUUUCCUUCUGUGCUGUUGCUACACUUGCAUUACUGGGCAAGAUGGACAAGAUAAAUGUAGACAAGGCUGUAGAGUUCGUCUUAACCUGUAUGAACUUUGAUGGAGGUUUUGGCUGCAGACCUGGUUCAGAGUCUCAUGCUGGUCAGAUUUACUGCUGCACCGGCUUCCUGUCACUCACCGGUCAGCUGCACCAGGUGAACGCCGACCUGCUGGGCUGGUGGCUCUGUGAGAGGCAGCUGCCGUCUGGAGGCCUUAAUGGACGACCUGAGAAGCUUCCAGAUGUGUGCUAUUCGUGGUGGGUGUUGGCAUCGCUGAAAAUCAUCGGCAGGAUUCACUGGAUCGACAAGGCCAAGCUGCGAACGUUUAUUCUGGCCUGUCAGGACGAGGAGACGGGAGGUUUCGCAGAUAGACCCGGGGACAUGGUGGAUCCUUUCCACACUCUGUUUGGAGUUGCAGGUCUCUCCCUCCUCGGAGAUGAACAGAUCAAGCCGGUGAAUCCAGUACUGUGCAUGCCUGAGGACGUCCUGCAGAGGAUUGGACUGCAGCCGGACCUCCUCAGCUAGCCGUCUGACACCACCAUCCCACUGUCACACUCAUACACACUCACACAUGCACACACUGCUGCCCUGCCGAACACACCAACUAGCGCUGCUGGAUGUUGGGAGCAGAGAGAGGACCACCACACAUGGUAGUGUUAGUUAAAGUCUACAGACACAUUUUAGAUGCAGGUUUUGAUCUCCACUCACUAAGGAGAAGAAACAUAAUGCAGUUCUGACUCAGCUCUGAGCCUUUCUGUCUUCAACCCUCAACCACAUGUUAUGUUAUCAAGUCAGUUUUCUUGGGCUCAUUGCAUGAAAAAGGGGUGAUUUUGAGAAGUGGUGUCAGGUGGCUUUUGAGGGACUGAGAAAGGAGAUGUUUUGAUGCGUAACCAUUCAUGCAACAGCCCAGAAAUCAUUAAAUAACAUUCCUUAACUUUUGUUCUCUAUGUCAGUUUAAGGGAAAACGUAACUGUUAGCACAGGAAAUACUUAUGGAAAUUUUUCAGUCUCUUAUCUCUUUCUUGCUCUCAUCACUUUUUCAGCUUUUCAAGUAGCCAAGGAAGUUAUUACCGUCAUUAGAGCCGUCACAGUCAUGAAUUUUAGUUGUGGUUAACAAUUCAAUUGUCUUUUUCUGUUCAUUUUAUGCCACUAUUUUAGUAUAAGCCUAAUCAUAGUUUAAUAAUACACGUACACCUUAUGAAGAAGAAGAGAAGCUAUUUACUGGCAUUGAACAUUGACAGCUACCAAUAAUCAAACUAUGGAAAAAGAUGUGGUAAUAGUAAUGGAAAUAUGACAUUUCUGUUCAUUUCAUCCAGCUGAAUGGAAACAAUUCAAACAAGUAUGCAAAAUGAUUGCAGUCAGCUCAAAUAAUCAUGAUCAGGUGAUUAUGUAAUAACUGUGACAGGCCUAACUGUAAUUAGUGUUUCUGGCCAGAGACGGGAGGAGGCACUGAUUUCUUCCCCUUUUUGUUCUGCAAUGCUUCAUUAUCACAUUUGUCACAUGAAUGACUGAAAAAUAUUCUGUUUUAUUCGACAGAUUUAUACUUUUGACCUGGAGAGAGUAGAAGGAUUAUUUGUGGAAAUCAGCUAAAUUCAGCUGAAAGAAACUCAUUGAACACAAUAUUACAAAAUCCCAACUGGACUCUGUGGCUGUGAAAAUUCAAAGAACAGGUAAACACCACUAGAUGGCAGCCUUACUAUUUAAAAUUUUUGUUUAUUCAAAACCAGAGAUCUCAGUAAGAAACGGAUCAUAUUAAAGAUGAUCAGUUAUGGGAUUUAGGGUAAAUUGUAAUUAUAUAGGUUUAAGUCACUGUAAUAUGUAGAAAUGUGAAACUAGUAUAAAGCUUUUAAAUUAACCCUGCUAAUUACAUGUAUGUAGGUGGAAACAGCAAAUUGGAGAGGCGAGAACCACUAAAUUUUAGGCAUAUUAGCUUUAAAAAAUGACAAUUAUCAAGAUUGUUGAUGAUUCAUUUUGCUCUAAUAUUCUCACCCUCCAAAGAAACACACAUCUUUCUCUUUGAUUAUUUGGGCAGCUUGCAGUUAAAAAGUAAGAAAGAAUAAAUAAACUUUAAUGUUGUGUUGUAGGAAUUUGUUUGAAGCACCUUCACCUUUCCUCAUGCAUUUUACAUUCUACAUCAGAUCUACAUUGAUUCAUGCCUUGGAGGCUACAGUAAUAAGGCCGGCACCACAGAAAUGCCACUACUGAUACUGUGUGAGAAAUUAUGUUUCAUAGCAGUGGCAGAUUGUAAUAAUGGAGCUGCGUAAAGAUUGAUGCACUCUGCCUGAGUAAUUAGAGGCAGGUAAUUCUCUCCUACCUGUUUUCCUUCAUGUAAUAAAGAUAAGGACUUUCCCUGUAACGUACAGCCUGAUAAGCAAAUGACACUUUACCUGGAACAGUUCCCAAUAACUGCUUUCAUAAAAUGUCAGACUAAUGAUAAAAUGAUAACAAUGACUAUGUGGAACAUUAUUAUCUCUGUGCACUAAUUACUGCAUCAUGAUAAGGGGGUGGGCACAUUUGUAAAGUGAGUAAAAAUAUGACACCACUGCUCAUUUAAAUGUAUAAAUGACAAUAAUGCACUGUGCAUUGUGAAUAGCUAUAUUGUUUAUCUGUGACAAUAAAUGAGUGGCAAAAAACUAUCAAAAAUAUUCUGUACAGUAUCAAUAAAUAGCGCCUUUUUGUAAUUCCAAACAGCCUGCAGUCAUGGACAGAUUUUGAGACAGCAGGUUCUUGGACACACACAUGUAACCCCCCCCCCCCCCUUAGGAACCAGACACCCAGAGACAGAGACACAUAACAACUACAAACCACAAAACUGUGUUUAUUCUACAUUUCUUUGUGGACAUUAUACAUGAAUGUCACUGCAUCUCAGUGUUUUUGUUUUGCAUUCUCCUGUCUUUUUGCUUGUCUUUGUGGUCGUAUUGUGUUUUUUUGGGGGGACUUUUUGUGUCCAUUGCAGUUGUUUUGCUUCUCUUUAUGGUUGUUUUAAAUUUGUUUUGUGUCUUUUUGGUGACACAUAAAGUCUCGUGUGGUUGAUUUGCUACUGAA